rnacentral:rRNA from 1 species
GAUGAACGCUGGCGGCGUGCCUAAUACAUGCAAGUCGAGCGGAAAGGCCUCUUCGGAGGUACUCGAGCGGCGGACGGCUGAGUAACACGUAGGAACAUACCCCAAAGUGAGGGAUAAGCACCGGAAACGGUGUCUAAUACCGCAUGUGCUCUAAGGAGUAAAGCUUCGGCGCUUUGGGAAUGGCCUGCGCAUGAUUAGCUUGUUGGUGAGGUAAUGGCUCACCAAGGCGACGAUCAUUAGCUGGUCUGAGAGGAUGAUCAGCCAGACUGGGACUGAGACACAGCCCAGACUCCUACGGGAGGCAGCAGUAGGGAAUUUUGGACAAUGGGCGAAAGCCUGAUCCAGCAAUACCGCGUGUGUGAUGAAGGCCUUAGGGUUGUAAAGCUCUUUUAGUGGGGAAGAUAAUGACGGUACCCACAGAAAAAGCCCCGGCUAACUCCGUGCCAGCAGCCGCGGUAA